rnacentral:misc_RNA from 1 species
GCGACCGCAACCGAUAAAGGUUGCGAAGUUCGAUCAUUCCCACAUCGAAGGAAUGCCACUCGCGUGGCGUUUUAGUGGUUGCGAUACUGCUGGUCCAUUUGCUUGGACCAAUCUCAUCGAUCCUGAAUACAAGUUGGUAAUUGAAAAACUACACGAGUUUGAAGUUAAAACUUGGAAUGAGAUAGCCGCAACAGGCUCUCAUAAGAUUGAAGCUUACAGAAUCGAAAAAUCAGCGCGCGAUAGGCUGACAGUCAUCGAGCAGGACGACAUUGAUGAAUUGAUGUCGUUCCGGCUCAACGGAACUAACCGCGUGUGGUGCAUCCAAAU